CUACACUCACUGUCCAACCAGUCCCAUUGAGAUGAACCUGGUACCUCAGUUGGAAACGCGGAGAUCAUUCACCUUCUGUGUUGCUCUCUCUGGGAACUGUGCUCUGGAGCUGUUCCUAUUCAGCCGUCUUGGCAGAAAGCACUCUUAGCAUAUAUGUU